GGAUCGAACGGCGUAGCGAUAGGCUUAACACAUGCAAGUCGAGGGGCGAGCGAUAGGGCCUUAGCUUGCUAAGGCUGAUGGCGACCGGCGUAAGGGUGCGUAACGCGUAUGUAACUUGCCUUUGAGAGGGGGAUAACCCGGAGAAAUCCGGCCUAAUACCGCGUAUUCUCAAGUUGCUGCAUGGCAGUUUGAGGAAAGAUUUAUUGCUCAGAGAUAGGCAUGCGUUCCAUUAGGUAGUUGGUGAGGUAACGGCUCACCAAGCCGACGAUGGAUAGGGGAGCUGAGAGGCUGACCCCCCACACCUGGGACUGAGACACGGCCCAG
rnacentral:rRNA from 1 species